CUACUUUUGCCGGCGAGCGGCGGACGGGUGAGUAAUGCCUGGGAAAUUGCCCAGUCGAGGGGGAUAACAGUUGGAAACGACUGCUAAUACCGCAUACGCCCUACGGGGGAAAGCAGGGGACCUUCGGGCCUUGCGCGAUUGGAUAUGCCCAGGUGGGAUUAGCUAGUUGGUGAGGUAAUGGCUCACCAAGGCGACGAUCCCUAGCUGGUCUGAGAGGAUGAUCAGCCACACUGGAACUGAGACACGGUCCAGACUCCUACGGGAGGCAGCAGUGGGGAAUAUUGCACAAUGGGGGAAACCCUGAUGCAGCCAUGCCGCGUGUGUGAAGAAGGCCUUCGGGUUGUAAAGCACUUUCAGCGAGGAGGAAAGGUCAGUAGCUAAUAUCUGCUGACUGUGACGUUACUCGCAGAAGAAGCACCGGCUAACUCCGUGCCAGCAGCC
rnacentral:rRNA from 1 species